rnacentral:rRNA from 1 species
CCUACGGGUGGCUGCAGUGAGGGAUAUUGGUCAAUGGGGGAAACCCUGAACCAGCAACGCCGCGUGAGGGAAGACGGUUUUCGGAUUGUAAACCUCUGUCCUCUGUGAAGAUAAUGACGGUAGCAGAGGAGGAAGCUCCGGCUAACUACGUGCCAGCAGCCGCGGUAAUACGUAUGGAGCAAGCGUUGUCCGGAUUUACUGGGUGUAAAGGGUGCGUAGGCGGGUUUGCAAGUCAGAAGUGAAAUCCAUGGGGUUAAACCAUGAACUGGUUUUGAAACUGCAGAGAUUGAGUGGAGUAGAGGUAGGCGGAAUUGCCGGUGUAGCGGUGGAAUGCGUAGAGAUCGGGAGGAACACCAGUGGCGAAGGCGGCCUGCUGGGCUCUAAAUGAAGCUGAGGGACGAAAGCGUGGGUAGCAAACAGGAUUAGAUACCCCGGGUAGUG